GCAGCGUGAGAUGUAUCCUUUGCGGCGAAGGCAAUCCCAUGAUGCAUUUCACCAGCUCAGAGUUCCAGCGCUCAGAUUUAAAAACAUGGCGGACGGAGCCGGCCUGCCACGGAGUUUCUGUACAAAUGGAUGAACGUGGGCCGGGGAAGGUGAACUCUGGUCAGACCGGCUGGAGGCAGCGUUAGCUCCCUUUAUGAAUAUAUAUUUUUUUCUUUGAAUGUAAUAAAGUUUUCUCUCUUAACAUUA